UCCACGGCUCACGCCGUGGGCUACUCUCUGGCGGCCCUUCGGGCCU
rnacentral:sRNA from 1 species